rnacentral:rRNA from 1 species
AGAACGAACGCUGGCGGCAUGCCUAACACAUGCAAGUCGAACGAGACCUUCGGGUCUAGUGGCGCACGGGUGCGUAACGCGUGGGAAUCUGCCCUUGGGUUCGGGAUAACAGUUGGAAACGACUGCUAAUACCGGAUGAUGACUUCGGUCCAAAGAUUUAUCGCCCAGGGAUGAGCCCGCGUAAGAUUAGCUAGUUGGUGGGGUAAAGGCCUACCAAGGCAACGAUCUUUAGCUGGUCUGAGAGGAUGAUCAGCCACACUGGGACUGAGACACGGCCCAGACUCCUACGGGAGGCAGCAGUGGGGAAUAUUGGACAAUGGGCGAAAGCCUGAUCCAGCAAUGCCGCGUGAGUGAUGAAGGCCUUAGGGUUGUAAAGCUCUUUUACCCGGGAUGAUAAUGACAGUACCGGGAGAAUAAGCCCCGGCUAACUCCGUGCCAGCAGCCGC